rnacentral:misc_RNA from 1 species
ACACCUCAACUCUCAUGGUUUGCCAUGACGAGCUUGGACCGUUGGGGGUUUUGCUGGCUUGUCGUCGGCUCCUCUCAAAUGAAUCAGCUUGCCAGCGUUUGGUGGCGUCACGGGUGUGAUAACUAUCUACGCCUGUGGUUUUCUGCCAUGUAGCCUUCAGUGAUGGAGGUUCGCUGGAGCUCAUAGACGUCUCUCCUCAGCGAAGACAGUUUUUGUGAAC